rnacentral:rRNA from 1 species
AGAGCGAACGCUGGCGGCAGGCCUAAUACAUGCAAGUCGAACGCACCUUCGGGUGAGUGGCGGACGGGUGAGUAACACGUGGGAACGUGCCCUUUGGUUCGGAAUAAUCCGGGGAAACCUGGCCUAAUACCGAAUGUGCCCUUCGGGGGAAAGAUUUAUCGCCAUUGGAGCGGCCCGCGUCUGAUUAGCUAGUUGGUGGGGUAAAGGCCCACCAAGGCUACGAUCAGUAGCUGGUCUGAGAGGAUGAUCAGCCACACUGGGACUGAGACACGGCCCAGACUCCUACGGGAGGCAGCAGUAGGGAAUCUUGCGCAAUGGGCGAAAGCCUGACGCAGCCAUGCCGCGUGAAUGAUGAAGGUCUUAGGAUUGUAAAAUUCUUUCAGCGGGGAAGAUAAUGACGGUACCCGCAGAAGAAGCCCCGGCUAACUUCGCGCCAGCAGCCGC